UUUUUUAUUUUUAUUUUUUUAAGGAUUCAAAAUACACUCUUUUUUUUUUUUUAACUUUCUGUUUUUUUAAGUCCUCUCUAUAUCCAACACGGGGCACAAACUCACAACCCCCAGAUCAAGAGUCACACACUCUACCAACUGAGCCAAGUGUCCUGUCACUUCAUGUUUAUAAAAGGCCUGUAUUAGUGCCCAUUUUUGCUAACUGAAAGAAAUCCAAAGAGGGUUUUUGGUUUUCAAAAGAAAAAAAAAUGGGAGAAGCAAAAAUAGCUGUCAGCCUUAGCUCUACAGUCAGCCUAGCAAUAAUAGAGGCAGCACGCACGCCAAGCAGUGAGAGUGGCACCAUCAAGCUCCUUCCCGGGCACUACAUUCAGUCCAUCAGCAUCAAGUCACCAUGGUUUUGAACUGUGACUAUGAGCAUCUGUGCUUUAUCUCCAUUUAUUUUGUGCAUCCAUCAGCAAGAUAUGUCCUAAGAUAUCUGGAAAGCCUAAGAGGGGUUAUGGGGGGGGGGGGUGUCUGGGAACAUUCAAAAGUUUUCCAUAUAAAUGUAUGGUAAUCGCUUUUUUAAAACAUUUUGGCAAAAGGUUUCAUAGGAACGUCUCAUAGGAAUGCUCUGUUUUUGGAUAGCAGAGGAAACUGGAGUGUUUAGUCUUACGUGGCUAUAUGACUAUGCCAAGUAUUGUGAUCACUUAUUCAUUCAACAAGCGUUUGUUGAACAGCUACUAUACGCAAGCACCUGUGCUAGCAAUAAGGCUGGAAAUAACACAGAGAUGGUUCCUGCUCUCAGGAAGACUUAAGUCAAAUCAGAGGCAAAGCCAGGAUCUCAGAGCUCCCACUUGGCAUUAUAGCAAAUUGGGGAAGAGCCAGUGAUGAAUUUCAGGAACCUGGCAGUCUUACUCCAAGUAUGCCACAAACUCCAAGCAAAAAAUAGCAACUAAACUGGUUUUCUUUAGCAGGCUUUUGACUGAGCGAGUGUAUGUGCCUUUCUCUUAUUCACAUUCGUGUUCACACUCAACCAGCCCCGUUGACCACAUGUUCUAUGCUGAUGCCGGGGGGAGAGGGAAAGGUAAAAAGGUGAGAGAACGUUUGCCCUGAAGGACCUAGCAGCCAACUUGAUGAGAUGGACAGGCAAACAAUUACAGUAUACAGAGCAUCCCAUGAAAGUCUCUGCACAUUCACUUUUAGGAUGAUUAACGUGUAUUUUAGCAAAUAGGGUGGACAGAUGUUAACUGUUUUGACUUCCUCAAAGACAUGCAUGUUCAAAAGCCCUCACCAGCGCCAGCACAGAUAACGUACAAUGUUACCUCCACAAAGGUGUAUAUUAUCAUUAGGACACUCAGUGGCCUAACAAGCACUGAUGGAGGUGUACACAGGUCUGUGAUUAAGAAACAGGGAAAGGUCUGCAUGAGAGCUUUAAGGAUGGCUUCCGAGGGAUGGGAUGCUGGAGCGGAGUUUUAAAAGAAAGCAGGAGCUCAGUGCAGCCUUGGAGUUUCCAUACACAGAUUUGCAAGGCCCUCAGGGACCCUUCUCCUCAUGGACACUGGCCGUAGGUGUAGACAAGGGGACCUCGCUCCUGUCUUUAGAGGAUUGCAUGGAAGGGAGACUACAAUGAGGAACAGGAGCUCCCAGAAAUGGGUAUCUGCUUUCCUUCCCCUCGGCCCCACAAGCCUGUCUCCUCCACCUCCACAUCUGUCUUCCCUUUCUCUUUGUCCUCCUCUGAACCUUUAUUGUCAUCUCAUCCAGACAUUGGGAAGAGCAGAGCCAGCAUCCCCACGAAACAGAGGCACCAUUCAAAUAAACGUUGGCCCUCCUCUGAUGUUGACAUUUGGCAAAAUAUCCCAAGUGUUAUUUCACGUCUCAGCCAGGGGUGUGUGUGUUUUCACUUGCAAGCUCUGUGAGGGUAAUAAACAUGGUUCGGGGUCUUCCUUUUACUUCAAGGCUCUGCAUUCUUGAGGGACAGGAAUAAUUAAUAUCUUGUAUGACUCCAUACUUUUCCACCCUUUUAAGUCUAUCUCUUUUGUUGUAAAAGCUACUAUUUGUUGGAUGUAUAUAUAUUAAAAUAUACAUGUGUGCCAGGCACAGGCCUAAGCACUUUAGGAGUAUUUACACACUUAAUCCCCACAACUCCUCUGUUACCCCAGUUUACAGAGGAAGGAAGAGAUGAAGUGCCUCGCCCAAAGUCCCUCAGCCAGUACCAGCAGCCACGACCAGCCAGCCUGGCUCCAAAUCCAGCUGCACUUAUGACAACAUGAUGCCAUUUGUGCCACCCUUCAUGGUAGAGAAGUCAGCUUUUGCCAUCUCUACUGACACAGAAUGGCACAAACAUUUAGCCAGUCUAAGUGCUUCUGGCUACUGUCACACCCUCAGAUCCUGAAUCCACUUCCCUGAACCCUCUGCCCAGUUUCUUUCUAUAAAAUCCUGGUAUUGUGAAAGGAUUUAUGACCAGAAGGACAGAUGCCACCAUGGAAAAGCCAAAAAUCUGUCCUUUCCAGCUUUGGAGAUGUUAAAAACUCAAGUCACCCACAGAAAAACAAAAUAAUACCACAUUCUUCUUAGGUUUAUAAACACCCAGUAUGAGACAGCGAGAGACAGGAGGGUAAUUCCAGAUGCAUAACGAACAAAUAGCAAAUUUAAUAGUGUGGGCCUUGUUUAUACUUCUGCCAUCAACUUUAAUGAUGAGCCUAUUUAUGCUAAACUUCACUACAUUAUCAGAGUCAUUAGUGCCUGUAAGUGAGUGAUAAUGUGCUUGAAACUUCCACAAGGACAUGUAGCUUUCUCCAAGCCUUACAUUUCAAUGUUGAGAGAUGCAGGUCCAGUGAGUAUUUUUGUUCAUGCGCCUAGAACAACCGUUUGAUAUUAUGCCCCCAAAAGCAGCCUAGAGGCCAAACAAGUUGAAGAAUAUGCGUUAAAGAGAAUUAAAUAGACUUGUUUUGCCUCAAAAUCUCUAACAUGGUAAAAAGUGUUCAUGUGUCCUCUCAAUCUCCAAGAUGGGACACACUAUGUCAGAUUUUCUGAAUAUUAACCAAAGAUAUUUUCUUCCAAAGAGGACCUCUCUUAUUAUUGGUCAUUAAAACACUAGUGUAAUGAAUGUUGAAUUAAAACAAAACAAAAAAAAAGCUGUAGCAAAAGCCAAUAUUUGAAUCAUAAUGAAGGAUAAGUAGAACAUGCAUUGGUUCAUCACUUAGCAUUAGCCAUGGUAGGCAUGAGCCGAGCAAAGUGGCCUGUCCUUGGCUGUAGACACUCCUGAGGAUUCACAUGUUACUGAGAAUGCACAUUUCUGCAAACGUGAAGUCCUAAUUGAGAAGCACUCAAUAAAGUGAGACUCAAAGCUUCAACAAAGAACCUCAAAAGACUACAUGGGUGUUUCCUGUCCAUCAAUGUGAGCCAAAAUUUUUAUAUAACUUCAAAUAUCCCUAUACUUCGGAUCUAAUGAUGCUAGGGAAGCAUCAUUAGAUCCAAAAAGGAGGUACAUAUUAAAAAAGGAGGUACAUAUUAAAAACUCCAACCAGCAUCAGCAUUUUUCCCAACAUUAAACCACAUUAUUAGGAGACAAGCUACAUGCAGCCUAAAUUAAGCCCGAAAAAUCAGUACAAGGACCAACACUGCACUUUAUAGCAGAGCUCAUAAUGGAACAAGUAGAAAUGGAGUAGAGAGCAUUCUCAUGCAACAGACCUCAGCAUCUUCUGACAGUGUCCUCUCAUCAGAAAGCACUUCUCCUGACCAUCUUGUCUAAAAAAAAACACCCCUCAGCCCAUUUCCCCACCAUGGCUUUCUAGAACACUUAUUGUGUGAUAUUAUUUUAUUAUUUUUUCUUUUGUAUUGCCUGUCUCCCCUUGACUAGAAUAUAAGUUCCAUGAGCUCAGGGACAAAUCCAUCACAUUCAUCACUAUACCCCCUUCCCCCACCCACCUGGAACAAUGCAACCAUGCAAUAAAUACUCACUGAGCCCUGAAUGAGUGUUCUAAUUCUGGAAAACUUCAAUUCAGGUAACAGAACCCUAUCUUAGGUAGGGGAAGCUCUGGAUUUAAUCUCCUGCACUACCUUGAUGCAACUGUCACUCCUUCUUAUACUCCUAUCAGCCCCAACCUAAGCCAGGGCAAGAGAAGGAAGGAAAGGUCUAGGGGAAGUUCUAGGGGAAGAAGGUGUAACUCUGGUACAGAGGUAGACAGCACCUGUGUCCUUGGGCUCAUAUGCUAACCAAGAGGUUAGGCUUUCAAGAAAGACUCAACAGGAAUUGUUUCUCAGCUUCUUGUAUCAGAGUAGACAAUGCCAAGCAUUUGUACCAGCACUCUGGGCACAAGGGGUAAGUCAAAGUCUUAUAACACUUGAGAGGACCCUUCCUUAUGACCUUUCUUGCACUGGAUAUAUUUUAUUGCCCUGACCAUAGCCCCUCCCGAAGAAACUAAACAAUUCAAACACCCUGGUAGUGUCACCUGCCCCCUUAUCCAAUCUUUUCCAGGUCACAGCUAGCCAACCCCCUGACUAACCAGUGGCCAGUCAGCUCAAAAUCUCCCAAGGGAAUAUCUAAGAGUCAUAGAAACCAUCAUCCCUUGGCCAUGGGCCAUAGAACUGUGAGGUCUUAACAAGUCAGGGCGUGCAGUCAUAUUGGCCCAUAAAGGAACAGAAGGAAACCAAUCAGAGUACAGUCAGCUGAAGAGAAGCAGGAAAGAGAUACUAUGUGGCUUCAGUAGUUAAGAAGCUCAAGAAGCCAGGCCUCGCCCUCUUUGAAACCAGAGAGAUGUUCUUACUGCUAGCGGAUGCCAGACUCCAACUUGCCUGAGGUCUGAGCAGUUUUCAUUCCUAUAUGGGUGAGUCUACCCCUUAUGCCUCCAAAUAUACCCCCUUCACUUCAAUUAGCUUCGAUGGUUUUUCCUCCUUCUGCUUGGCUGGAACACCUACUUUGGAUCUAAGAUGCAUUGGCAUUUAUGACUGGCACCUUGUUCUCUUAUCUGCAUUCUCAGGUCUUUCCACAUGAAUUCUGUUUUCCACCCUUCCUGCAGGGCCCUGCUCCAAACCUACCUGCUCUUUAAAGGCUUCUUUGAGCCCCAGUAAAAUGGUCACCCCCAUCCCCACUUACAAAAUCAGCCAUAAUCUCACAGUCCAUGUGGCAUCUACUGAAAUUCCUUCUCCUACGUGUUGAGCAUCUAUCUUGUGCUCUGUCAGGUUCUGGAUAUAUGAUGACCAGAGGGACACGGUCUCUGACCCUGAGGAGCAACUAGCAAGAUGACAAGAAACUAGCACAUCAACAUAAGUCACAGCACAAAGUGUUAAGAACUAAACAGAGCAACAAAUGGGCAGGGAGCCCUGCGGUCUCCUGUGUAGGUCCAAGGUCAGAACUGCUAACUUCUGUGUCUGUAAUAAAUCCUAAGUUCAAACAGGCUACAUCAGUGGAAAAAAUUAUUUGUUCACCAUAUCAAAGCUACAGGUAUAUGUACAACACAGAAAAAAAAUGUUCUUAGAAAUGCUUCUGUCAUGUAGACAUGGACAUGAUGAAAAAUAUUUCCUCUUCAUAAGUGAGGCCAGUCACAAAUAGUAGCUGAGGCAACCCAUUAAUGACAUAGACUAAAUACCUUUCUAAAUGCAAUGUAAACACAUGUGCUUGAUUUAUCAAUCAAAAUGGUUAACAUGCUCAGUAGCAUCAAAGACUGCAUUCAAAUCAUGCUGUGUCCAAAUAUUAAUCUCUGGCUCAUUUUCCUUUUCACCAUCUCCAUUAAAAAUUAUUACAACACUUAUCUUUAAAUGGGGGGGGAAGCACACUUGAAUGAAUGACAAAAAUAAAAUUGACAAAAUACAAAGAGAAUGCUCAUAACUGCAGGGAAUUAAAGGAUAAAGUAGUUCUGAUCAAGACUUUUCUAUAUGAGCACAGUUAUUAUUAGCUCUAUCUAUCUUGCAUGGUAAAUCAAGAAUAAUGAAGAUAUGCCACCUGUAUGUAUUUCCAUAAUUCAUUAUUUGCUCCUAAAGCCAAUAUUUCUAAAAGACAAGACCAAGGUAAGCGGUAUUAAUGAGUUGUUGGAUUUAGAAGUUUUAAAAAGAUUUUAAUAUCUAGCAUCCUUUAUGACAAACUGCUAACAAAAAAAAAGUAAGUUGGCAGUAAAAAGACAGAACCUGUGUCUAUGGAAUUAGGCUAGAGUUCAAGCAACAAGGCUUAUUGGGUUACCAGUUUUAUUUCUAAUUUGCUCUGUUCAUUGAAGGAAUCAAUUUGCUGCCAUUAAAGGCUUGGAUUUCAAAUAUUUUACAAUUUACACACAUUUCCUGGUGUGAACGAGCUAUGCAGUUUGUCAGAGCUCAGACGAGCUGUCCUCUGGUGGCCCAAUAGCUGCACAUGUUCUUAAAAUGUGUUUGCAAGUAGAACAGAGGUAUAAUGCCUACCACUCAAUAAACAGGAAAAAAUACUGAGCCGUGUGGAAGCUUUGUUCAGCAGUUAUAUGUAUUUAUAGAUCCUCCCACAAUAAGCCAGUUAUGAAAUAAUAGAAAUUAAGAGGGGCCUUCCUGGACUUGACUGUUUUCACCUAAAUCUAAAUCUAAUUUUUCCUUAACUUACAGCAAACCUCAUGGGAGAAGUUGAACUUCAUUGAUUUGGAAUAGGAUGGAUGACUAUCCUUCCAAAACCCUUCAGAAAGGUGGAGUGCGCCCAACUUUUGGGAAAAAAAAGAGUUUUUACAGAUCAUAGUAAAUCAAUAACUCAUAGACAGUAUGACAGAUACAGAAUAUCCUUACUUAAGAUGAAAAACAAAUUGUGCAUUGCAAUCUUUAAUCAAUAAAAAGCUAACAAAUCAGCAGUGCAAACAAGAUGAGAGAGUCUUAUUUCAUCCUCAGUCACGAACUGAAGAGAUACACCGGGCUGUGUUUUGUGGUUAAAAAUUGCUCCCAGGAUGGUGUGCUUGUGAGCUAUUGAGUAAGAAGGUCAGUGGAGACCAACAGGCUGUGGGAUUUGCAACGCAGAAAGGACAAGUGGGUGGAACAUAAAAGGGCACUCUACAUAAAUGUCAAUUAAUGUAUUAUUCUUCUACAAACUUCCUUUAGCAAGGACUGUGGUGGCUUUGAAGCUUCUGUUCUUCUCGUGGGAGCAAGAAUGAGACCUCUUGCUUUAGCUUUUGAUUAAGCGAUGUUCAGAAGAAAACCUAUCAACAUAGACUAAGCCCUUCACAUUUAAACCAGAGGGCCUCACCCACCCCAAUUAGCCCCAACCCCUUUGAAAUGUUACCAAGGGGUCCCUUCUUUUCCUGUGCCAGUUAACUCUAAAAGAUUGUUGAUGGAGUGUAGCUCCUCAGUUGCAAAAACUCUAAUGUGCACUACACACAGGAGAUGUGCUAAUCAUAGUAAUCUUUUGAGAGCCUAAAGCAUUAGGACUUAUAUAAGUGAUGCUCAUUUAAUAGAUGAAGACUGACAAUCAGGGGAUCCCUGAGUGGCUCAGCGGUUUAGCACCUGCCUUCGGCCCAGGAUGUGAUCCUGGAGUCCCGGGAUCGAGUCCCACGUCAGGCUCCCUGCAUGGAGCCUGCUUCUCCCUCUGCCUUUCUCUCUCUCUCUUUCUCUCUCUCUCUCUCUCUCUCUCUCAUUCUCUCUGUGUCUCUCAGGAAUAAGUAAAUAAAAUCUUAAAAAAAAAAAAAA
rnacentral:lncRNA from 1 species